GUGCGUCUGUGGUUGAAAGUCGAUGCCAGUCGCAGGCGAAACGAUCCACGUAAGCCGGGAAAAUUCCGGUGAGCAUGGUGCGGCUUAGAAGUAAGUCCUGCCGCCGUUGGCCGAUGGCAAAGGGCGAGAGGGGCAGUAGUGGGGAGGCAGAGUCCUUAGGAGCGAACCCCCCGGCAGGCGAGUGUGGGGUCAAAGACCAGGUCAGGCGCG
rnacentral:ncRNA from 1 species